rnacentral:tRNA from 1 species
GCCUGUGUAGCUCAGUGUUAGAGCGGCUGCCUUGUAAGCAGUAGGUCGGGGGUUAGAAUCCCUCCACAGGCU